rnacentral:rRNA from 1 species
UACGUAGGGUGCGAGCGUUACUCGGAAUUACUGGGCGUAAAGCGUGCGCAGGCGGUUCGUUGUGUCUGUGGUGAAAGCCCCGGGCUUAACCUGGGAAUGGCCAUGGAAACUGGCGAGCUGGAGUGUGGCAGAGGGGGGUGGAAUUCCGCGUGUAGCAGUGAAAUGCGUAGAGAUGCGGAGGAACACCGAUGGCGAAGGCAGCCCCAUGGGUUGACACUGACGCUCAGGCACGAAAGCGUGGGGAGCAAACAGG